AGGCAGCCAGGGCAGGUGGCAGGUGGUGGAGUGCUCCCAGGGAGGGCACAGCCACCUGACAAUGAGCAGAUGAUGCCAGAGCCCCACCUGCUUUUCACAGGCAGCGCCUGCCCAGCACUUGCGCACGGCAGGCUGGUGCCCCGGGUAGACUUGGCACCUGCCCUGUAUGUCUCCAGGAUCCCCAGCAGGACGGAGGCCAGCCGUCUGCAGUGGUCAUCUCCUUGGCCAGCUCAUGCCAUCUGGCUGAGGGGACAUCUGCUGAGGUGGCCUGCCCAGCCUCCACUCCUGCUUCUGGAGCUGCCCCUGGCUGUGCUUUGGAGAGCCACUCUCCCAGCCUUCUUAGUCACGAUGGCCUGGGACCGUCUCUGUGAGAGACCCUGCGCAGACCCCGACAGCUCCCCGCCUCCUCAGGACGAAAGCCCGGCUCCAGCCUGGGAGCCAGUCCUGUUCACCUCUGCUGCACCUUCUCCCCCAACUCUGUUCCUCACAUGAUGCCCUCUCCACUGCCCAGGCUCUGCCCUGCCUGUGCUCACCCCCAGUGACCCUGUCCCGCUCUCUGCCUGGGAACCUCUCCUGAGACUCGGUGUCCCUCGGGCCCAUCCAGCCCCUCCCCCCAUGGGCACCGUCCCUCCUUUUGCUCAUUCAUCUGUCUUGGUCCCUGCCAACCACUGGCCCCUAAAGGGUGCGCUCCUUGUGCGCAGAAUGCCUGGGAUCCGAGCCAAGACAAUAUGCACGCACCCACUGGGCAUGUGGUACUGUGCCAGGUGUGGCGCUGUGUGGUGAGCCAGACCAGCAAGACGCCUGCCUUCAGGGCUCAUGUUCAAUCCGAGGAGCAGAGCGGAAAUCAGCAAACCCAUGUGUGCAGCCUGUGGUGCAGAGAUGGGCUGAGGCCAGUUGUGCCUGGUUCAGCGUCCAGCUGCCCCACUGACGGCUGUAGCGGUCAGCUGCUGUCACAGGAAUGCUGCGCAGCAGGGUGCCCCAAACGCAGGGCCUCUCACUCACUCUCAGCCCCGUGCGCAGGCUGAAGAGGCUUUCUGAGCUGAGCUCAGCUCUGCCUCACCGAGCUUCUCUUUGGCCCGGCAGCCUGGAGCACAGCCUCACAGUGGAUUUUGGCUUCUCUGAGGGGCAAGCAGAGACAUCCUGCGACUCCUGUGGCCGAGGCAAGGAGCUCACACUCUUUCCCUCUGCCCACAUCCCACUGGCCACACAGGUCACACAGGCAAGUCCAUCCUCCCUGGGCCGGGAAGUGUACUUCACCCAUGGGGGUGAGGGAGUGAAGUUUGUGUCUGUGUCUCAGUUUCCUUAUGGGGAAA